UCUGAGAGGAAGGUCCCCCACAUUGGAACUGAGACACGGUCCAAACUCCUACGGGAGGCAGCAGUGAGGAAUAUUGGUCAAUGGACGAGAGUCUGAACCAGCCAAGUAGCGUGAAGGAUGACUGCCCUAUGGGUUGUAAACUUCUUUUAUAUGGGAAUAAAAUGUUCCACGUGUGGGAUUUUGUAUGUACCAUAUGAAUAAGGAUCGGCUAACUCCGUGCCAGCAGCCGCGGUAAUACGGAGGAUCCGAGCGUUAUCCGGAUUUAUUGGGUUUAAAGGGAGCGUAGGUGGAUUGUUAAGUCAGUUGUGAAAGUUUGCGGCUCAACCGUAAAAUUGCAGUUGAAACUGGCAGUCUUGAGUACAGUAGAGGUGGGCGGAAUUCGUGGUGUAGCGGUGAAAUGCUUAGAUAUCACGAAGAACUCCGAUUGCGAAGGCAGCUCACUGGACUGCAACUGACACUGAGGCUCGAAAGUGUGGGUAUCAAACAGGAUUAGAUACCCUGGUAGUCCACACAGUAAACGAUGAAUACUCGCUGUUUGCGAUAUAC
rnacentral:rRNA from 1 species